rnacentral:miRNA from 1 species
AGGACCGCCAUCACGUUUUGG